AGAGUUGUAGCUCAGCGGUAGAGUGCUUGUCUCUUACAUGUGAGACACUGGGUUCGAUUCCCAGCACCACAU
rnacentral:tRNA from 1 species